rnacentral:rRNA from 1 species
GAUGAACGCUGGCGGCGUGCCUAAUACAUGCAAGUCGAGCGAAUGGAUUAAGAGCUUGCUCUUAUGAAGUUAGCGGCGGACGGGUGAGUAACACGUGGGUAACCUGCCCAUAAGACUGGGAUAACUCCGGGAAACCGGGGCUAAUACCGGAUAACAUUUUGAACCGCAUGGUUCGAAAUUGAAAGGCGGCUUCGGCUGUCACUUAUGGAUGGACCCGCGUCGCAUUAGCUAGUUGGUGAGGUAACGGCUCACCAAGGCAACGAUGCGUAGCCGACCUGAGAGGGUGAUCGGCCACACUGGGACUAGGACACGGCCCAGACUCCUGCGGGAGGCAGCAGUAGGGAAUCUUCCGCAAUGGACGAAAGUCUGACGGAGCAACGCCGCGUGAGUGAUGAAGGCUUUCGGGUCGUAAAACUCUGUUGUUAGGGAAGAACAAGUGCUAGUUGAAUAAGCUGGCACCUUGACGGUACCUAACCAGAAAGCCACGGCUAACUACGUGCCAGCAGCCGCAGUAA